rnacentral:tRNA from 1 species
GGUUUCGUAGCUCAGCUGAUAGAGCUUUCGCUGUACAAAAGAGUAGGCGGCGUCCAUGCUUGGGUUCGAAUCCCACCGAGAUUA